rnacentral:lncRNA from 1 species
CCCCCUUCUUUGAGAGUCGUGCUUGGAACUGGGUGGCAAAUACCGAUGAGGGGUUUGCUUGAUGGAUACGUUAGGCUUCUGGGGAGGCUUGCCGUGAAUGCAAAUUGGAUUAUCGGCGGGAUGCGAGGCUUUUAAAAGCUGAGACACCGGUCGCUUUGGAGCUGCCCCCGCCGUCCGUUUGACCUUGAAGUUUGUUGAAAGAUAUAAUUAUAUAUUUCGAGAUCUCCAACCUAUCGUAACAAAAUUACUAUUAGCUUUAAAAUCUGGAUAUUAAUUAAAUAACUAUCAUCUGUGUAUGAUA